AUGUUCUUACCCGGUGGUUCUCUUGAAGAUGCUCUACUAGUUCAUCAUUCUUCAUUCUUUUCCUUCUCCGGUGGAUUCAAGUCAAGCUUUGUUGAUCAUAUCCUUUCUCCUCGUUUCAAUACCUUCUCUUGCCGGUGCACCUCAUAUUCAGUCAUUUCUCGUUAUUCAAUUGUUUCGGAGUGCUCAAGAUAUCCUGAAGAUUCGUGCUUACACUCUGCUUUCGUUCAAGCUCUUUCGAGGAUGUUAUCUCAUUCAAGCCAUUUAAAUUCAACCGGUGGAAUCUCUCUUUUCAAGCAAUCAUUCAACGGUGUUUCUUUUGAGUGGGCCCUAACCCACAGGUCUUUUCCCAGGAUCUUACCUGAGUCUUCUAAUUUUACCGGAGCUAUUCUCAAAUCUUUCAAAGUUUGA
rnacentral:rRNA from 1 species